rnacentral:rRNA from 1 species
GACGAACGCUGGCGGCGUGCCUAAUACAUGCAAGUCGAACGCAGUGGGGACGGGUGAGUAACACGUGGGUAACCUCCCAUCAGAGGGGAUAACACUUGGAAACAGGUGCUAAACCGAUACUGAUGGAUGAACCCGCGGUGCAUUAGCUAGUGGGGGAGGUAAAGGAUCACCAAGGGCACGAUGCAUAGCCGACCUGAGAGGGUUAUCGGACACACUGGGACUGAGACACGGCCCAGACUCCUACGGGAGGCAGAAGUAGGGAAUAUUCGGCAAUGGGCGAAAGUCUGAUCGAGCAACGCCGCGUGAGUGAAGAAGGUUUUCGGAUCGUAAAACUCUGUAGUUAGAGAAGCGGUAUCUAACCAGAAAGCCACGGCUAACUACGUGCCAGCAGCCGCGGUAAUUC